ensembl:lncRNA
GGUGAAGCCACACCUUGAGUCCUGUGUUUGGUUUUGGGCCCCUCGUGACAAGAAGACAUCAAGGCCCUGGAGCACUUACAGAGAAGUGCAACGAAGCUGGUUUUUAUUCAUCUGGAAAUGAAGAAUUCACAUACCUUUAUUCAGGAAGGAGCAACAAUCACUGUCUUGGUUUUUUCCUUUUUUUUUUUUCUGUUUUUUUGAGAAAUGGGAAAUGGAAAAUGGCUGAUCCUGCAAGAUGCUCAGUGUUUCUUACUGAAUGCCUUCAGGCCUCUCUGCUGUGGAAGGGAACUGGCCCUUUGAAGACCAUGUGCGAGACUGGACAGCCUCUUACCAGACUGUUGCAGAGCAGCUGGAAGGGAAUUCAAAGAAAUGCAAUGCUAGUGACUGCUGAGAGGACUGACUUAUGAGAAAAGAUUAAAAAUACUUUGAUUACAUCUGGACCCUGUGGAUUGUAAUGAGAUCUUCCUAUCAAGCAGGCAGAAAAGAAGAAAUUGUGAUAUUAGCUACUAGAUAAGAGUCAGUUCCUCAUUUGAAUAGGCUGGUUAGCUCUCCCUUCUCCAGUGUGUAGGGGCAAUCUCUUGGGAAGAGCUUGGCUUUCAUCUAAUGGCUUUUAG